UGUCCAGCGUCACGGAGUAAACAGUUAGUUACCUAACGUAUUUUCUUUUUACGUAACCAUGAUGUGGAAGGAUCAAAGGUAGUCAAUUGGAAAACAAAUACUGCAGCUGCUUAAAUGACCUAUUAUUGCUACGACUAUAAUUGUCACUGAGAGAACGGAUAAAAUGGACUGUCCAACAAAAGCUCGGAAUUUAAUAGAAUAAUCGAGUGACUAUAAAUAUUAGUUUCUGAAAAGAAGUAAAAAGCAGGCUUAUUUUGGAAAAGGUGAAGAAUUGGUCAGUUUGAAAAAUCUGUAGAAGAAUGGUCUGCCAUAGUUUUUAUCAAUGUGUCCUUGUUCAGAAUGCCAGUUACAGCUCCACGAAUUUGUUUCAGUGCUAUGCCGGUGCUAUUAAAGGAUGCACGUGGUAGUUGGUAACAGCAAGCGCGAGGUUCGCCGCCCAAAUGAUUCAAUUCAGUAAUUAAACCAGCAUACAGCAACUCGGAUGACGAAAACACUCGGUGUACCUUGGAUAUGUACUCGUCAUCGAGUUAUAUAAUUAGUCGCGAAUUCAAUAAUAGACUGUAAUGAAUGGGCUAUAGUCAGUGUUGUUUACGCCCGACAGUAGCAGACGAUAUUAUAAACUAAUUCGUCUCACAA